UCACUCCAGCCACUGAGCGUCAGUGUCGCGGCGGCUUGUUGUGUAGUGCACGUGUGUCGAUUUCCUGAGCUUUACCGAACAUUUCUUUGUGGUCAGGGUGAAACAGAACUGCCGAGGCCAUACCCGAAGUCUGUCCCGAACUACCUAGCAGAUUGUCCUCGAUCAGUAGCUGGAUGCGGAGGGAAGUUGGCUUGACGGGCUCUGGCAGGAGGUAAGCUGGUGAUGAAGAUGUGAUUGGUUAACACUUGAGCCAAUCACAGUCAUGUGACAGCGUUAUCACCAUGUGGCACUACGACUGAUCCUGUGUACAUGUCCGACCUGCCAUGAUUCACCAGUUAUGAUCAUUGUUGUGAAGACGAUCACUCCAUCCGACUGCUGCCUUUUCUGUUAGCUUUACUACUGGAAGAACUGUUAACCUCCUCUAUAACAAGUUCUCCCUUAAGAGGACAUCCUUGUUCCACCGGGGAGGGAGUGCGUGCGCCGGCGAACCCUCCUGUAUAAGCCAGCGGAUCCUAGCAAGCGGCAGGAGUGAUCGGAGAGUCACGAACAGGAGGAGGCUCUGGAGGCGAGGCGUGGAAUGAUGUCUUGCUGAAGUGUCAAUGGAUCGGGCUGAGUGGACGCGGCUGAGGCACUGUUAGCUUUAGUGACUGUAUCGUGUGUUCUGUUAUUGGUGGUAUUUGGUACUUGAAAGUUGUUGUAUUAAGUAGAGUUCGGAAUUUAUUACUGCCUGCGUGUU